CGGGACGGGUGAGUAACGCGUGGGUAACCUGCCCCAUACAGGGGGAUAACGAUUGGAAACGAUUGCUAAUACCGCAUAAGCGCACAGUACCACAUGGUGCAGUGUGAAAAACUCCGGUGGUAUGAGAUGGACCCGCGUCUGAUUAGCUAGUUGGUGAGGUAACGGCCCACCAAGGCAACGAUCAGUAGCCGACCUGAGGGGGUGACCGGCCACAUUGGGACUGAGACACGGCCCAG
rnacentral:rRNA from 1 species